UACAGAGGUCCCAAGCGUUGUUCGGAUUCACUGGGCGUAAAGGGUGCGUAGGUGGUCUAUUAAGUCAGUGCUGAAAUAUCCCGGCUUAACCGGGAGGGUGGCAUUGAUACUGAUGGACUUGAGUAAAGUUGAGGUUGGCGGAAUUGACGGUGUAGCGGUGAAAUGCUUAGAUAUCGUCAAGAACACCUAUUGCGAAGGCAGCUAACUAAGCUUUAACUGACACUGAGGCACGAAAGUGUGGGGAUCAAACAGG
rnacentral:rRNA from 1 species